rnacentral:rRNA from 1 species
UUGGAGGGCAAGUCUGGUGCCAGCAGCCGCGGUAAUUCCAGCUCCAAUAGCGUAUAUUAAAGUUGUUGCAGUUAAAAAGCUCGUAGUUGAAUUUCGGGAUCAAUGGAUUGGUCAUGCCGUUGGUAUGUACUGAUUUUAUUGAUUCUCACCUCCUAAAGAAUCAUAAUGCCAUUAAUUUGGUGUUGUGAGGAAUUAGGACUGUUACCUUGAAAAAAUUAGAGUGUUUAAAGCAGGCUUACGCUUGAAUACAUUAGCAUGGAAUAACGAAAUAGGACAUCGCAUUCUAUUUUGUUGGUUUCUAGGAUCGAUGUAAUGAUUAAUAGGGAUAGUUGGGGGCAUUAGUAUUCAAUUGUCAGAGGUGAAAUUCUUGGAUUUAUUGAAGACUAACUACUGCGAAAGCAUUUGCCAAGGAUGUUUUCAUUAAUCAAGAACGAAAGUUAGGGGAUCGAAGACGAUCAGAUACCGUCGUAGUCUUAACCAUAAACUAUGCCGACUAGGGAUCGGAUGAUGUUAAUUUUUUAAUGACUCAUUCGGCACCUUACGGGAAAC